rnacentral:tRNA from 1 species
GGAGCUAUAGCUCAGUGGUGGAGCACUUGCCUCCCAUGUGUGAGGCACUGGGUUCAAUCCUUAGCACCA